GAUGAACGCUAGCGGCAGGCUUAAUACAUGCAAGUCGAGGGGCAGCAUAAUUGUAGCAAUACAGUUGAUGGCGACCGGCAACCGGGUGCGGAACACGUACAGAACCUUCCUUCGAGCGGGGAAUAGCCCAGAGAAAUUUGGAUUAAUACCCCAUAGUAUUACGGAGUGGCAUCACUUUGUAAUUAAAGAUUUAUCACUUGAAGAUGGCUGUGCGGCUGAUUAGGUAGUUGGCGGGGUAACGGCCCACCAAGCCUGCGAUCAGUAACUGGUGUGAGAGCACGACCAGUCACACGGGCACUGAGACACGGGCCCGACUCCUACGGGAGGCGGCAGUAAGGAAUAUUGGUCAAUGGACGAAAGUCUGAACCAGCCAUGCCGCGUGAAGGAUGAAGGUCCUCUGGAUUGUAAACUUCUUUUAUAUGGGACGAAAAAAGGCUUUUCUAAGUCGUCUGACGGUACCAUAUGAAUAAGCACCGGCUAACUCCGUGCCAGCCGCCGCAGUAAGAC
rnacentral:rRNA from 1 species